CUGAGGCGGGAGCGGAGCUGCUCUCGGGCAGAAGAAAAGCAGGCGGGUCCCCUCCACCGAGAUGGCGAUUACGCGCCGGGAUUCUGAACCUCUCUCUUCUCCUCCACCCCCUCUAGGUUUCCUUUUCUAACUUUUUUGUCUCACCGGGAAACAGAACCACUCUGUAAAAGAACUGAUUCAAGUGGUGGCGACGCGGGGAGGUGGAGGGAGUCAGGUCCACGGCGACAGCAUCAAAACUGUGAGCCCCGCAGAUCGCUCUGGCCUGGCCCUCCAGGAACUGGGUGCUCCCGACUGUGGCCCUUUCCCACGUCCGGGGUCGACAGCUCUCUGCCUGCCAACCCUGGGGGGUUCCAGCAUCUGAGCCGAUGCGCCCAUAGUGGAGUGGGGCUUUGUCCUGGUAUCAUGCCUGGGUGUCCACAUUUUAAAACCUGGAGGUGACACUGAACUAAUCUGAGGACAGGGGAAUCUGCCACCAUCCUCAGAAGGCUGCCCCUCCAACAAGUUAUUUAAUACAGAAGAGUAUUUUCCUAAGCAGCCUGCCUGGCACGACAAUUCAGGGUCACUUUCAUCCACUAUUAGAAUCCUGAGAUCAAAGUCAGCAUCCAACUGCGAUUAAAGGACGGGCUCUGGAGGCACAUCUGGAUUUGCUCUAUCUGCAGGUUGCUCCUUGCCUCUCUGUUAUCUCGUUUGUAAAAUGCUGCCUCCUAAUACCAUUGUGAUGAUUAAAUGACCCAGUGUGUCAGUGUCAGCCCCAUGCCUAACACACAGUAAGUCUCAGGUUGCUAUCAUCAGAAGCAUGAUAUGGUACGGUGGGGGAGAAGAGGAUGGGCUCUAGAGCCAAGGAUGCAUUUGGAUCCUGGUUCUGCCACUUACAAGUUGUAUAACCCUGGGUAAGUAAUUUAACCUCUGUACCUCAAUUACCUCAAGUAUAUGGGGGAUGACAAGGGUACCGACUACAUCGAUUUGUUAGGAGAAGGAAAUGUUUGUUUAGUCUAUGCAAA